UAUAAUUGUCAGCUAAGUGGCGCACGGGUGAGUAAUGUAUAGAUAACCUGCCCUUAAGAAAGGAAUAACAGUUGGAAACGACUGCUAAUGCCCUAUAUGCCUUUAAUACAUAAGUAUGCAAGGGAAACGCUUUAGUGCUUAAGGAUGGGUCUGUAUGGUAUCAGCUUGUUGGUGAGGUAAUGGCUCACCAAGGCUAUGACGCCUAACUGGUUUGAGAGGAUGAUCAGUCACACUGGAACUGAGACACGGUCCAGACUCCUACGGGAGGCAGCAGUGGGGAAUAUUGCACAAUGGACGAAAGUCUGAUGCAGCAACGCCGCGUGGAGGAUGACACAUUUAGGUGCGUAAACUCCUUUUAUAUAGGAAGAUAAUGACGGUACUAUAUGAAUAAGCACCGGCUAACUCCGUGCCAGCAGCCGCGGUAAUACGGAGGGUGCAAGCGUUACUCGGAAUCACUGGGCGUAAAGAGCGUGUAGGCGGGUAUAUAAGUCAGAAGUGAAAUCCAAUAGCUCAACUAUUGAACUGCUUUUGAAACUGUAUACCUAGAAUGUGGGAGAGGUAGAUGGAAUUUCUGGUGUAGGGGUAAAAUCCGUAGAGAUCAGAAGGAAUACCGAUUGCGAAGGCGAUCUACUGGAACAUUAUUGACGCUGAGACGCGAAAGCGUGGGGAGCAAACAGGAUUAGAUACCCUGGUAGUCCACGCCCUAAACGAUGUACACUAGUUGUUGUGAGGCUCGACCUUGCAGUAAUGCAGUUAACACAUUAAGUGUACCGCCUGGGGAGUACGGUCGCAAGAUUAAAA
rnacentral:rRNA from 1 species